rnacentral:piRNA from 1 species
UGUGAAUAGAAACUGGAUGGCACAG